rnacentral:lncRNA from 1 species
AACAAUCGGCGUCUGGGUCGGAGUUGUGCCACCUGGGGUGGUUGGAUUCACAAUGGGGAUUGUGUCCAGUUGAUUGCUAGAUGUUGAAGGUGAAAAGUAGGGUAUUUGUUCUUCUUGAUUUUGUAGAACAUAGUCAUCUUGGUUUGCUUCAAAGAACGGUCUCUGUGCAAUACUUGAACCUGAAGGCACAAAAAGCAAAGGUCAGUUCCUUCAUGUGAAAAGGUGAAACCUCUUCUUGUUGUGAUUUUCUUAUAAUACAGAGUAACAUACUAACAUCUUAUGUUUGGUUUUUCUUUUCUUUCUGAUAGGACAACCAAUAGAAGAAAUGCAGGAAGAUGAGCCAUAGACUAGCAGAAAUAACAGGUACAUGAUGCAUUUAUUAUUAGAAGAUUAGCUUAAUAUCAUCGUACAGAAAAAAAAUCAACUAAUGCUGAUUUACCUAGACUGAGGAAAACCAACAAUGAAAGUAAUGCAAAAUGGAGGUGAAUACAGGUACCCAUCUCUACAAAUUACUCCCAAUGUUUGGUUCUGGAUCUUCAAAUGAUUUUGAACAAUGAUAGAGACCAAAGAUUUGUGAAAAUCAGAGGUAUGUCAAAUGUGUUUGUGUAAAGAAGAAUUACCCUUUUUGGCGGCAAGCAAUAUAUACAAGUAGCUGGGCGACAGAAUCUAAGCUUUCUUGGAUCAUCAAGAGUCAGAAAGAAGG